AGUCAAGAUAAUAAUACCUGUCUAUCUACCUCAGAGCUGUGUAAGGAUCAAAUGAAAUGAUGUUUCUGACACAUGAUAGCAGGAUCGGCAUCCCCUGGGAACUUGUAAAGACAAAUUCUCAACCACAUUCCAGGACCUACUGAAUCAGGAACUUGAGCCUCUGUGUCAUGUCAAGCCUUGCCCAAAGUCACAUCCCACGAUGAACUCAUUAAAAGACAACGCAUCCUGCUGGAAAACAGCCUUGCCAUCUGUGACAAGGAAGUGAUUGUUCUCGAAAUCAAAGCUCUUCACAUCAGCAAAGGGGACAUGAG